UUUGAUGUUCCGAGACAUAUGGGACAUCGUUGAAGAAAAGACAUGCGUAUUCAAAGGCAAGUGCAAGUGUUUCAACAAGAGAAUGCAAGGGAUCGUGGAACGAAGACAGAAUAAAAGGCAUGAGAUAAAUUACAAGAGAAAUUUCAAGGUACGUUCGAGACUUUAUAACAUAAGUCUAGAAUAUCCCGAAAAUGGAUCAAGGGGGAGUGUUGGAAAUUAUUGAUCCAUUUUCAACAAAUCUAGAAGUUUCUAGCUUAAUGGAGAACGAACUUGAAGACACGUGAAGAAGCCUCAAGCUGAUCAAGAAAAAGAAGGGCACACAAUAAAAUAAUAUUUUAGAAGUUGCUGGAGUUUUCAAGAGAACAAGCUCUACGUGCAUGGGAAAUUUGUGCAUGAAAAUCUUGGAAGAAAAGUCAACAAAAGUGGCUGAGAGUGGUAAAGAACAGAAAAAUACAGAAAAAUGGAGAAGCCACCAGAAGAUGCGGGAGAAGUCGCAACAAGAGAAGACAAGAAGCCAGCUGUAAUUUUAUAUUAUUUUUGUACUCAAUGUCGGUGGAGUAUGGCGGUGAUUCACGCCUAUAAAUAGGCUUGAAUGUUGAUCAUGUGAGUGCGUGAGAGGUUACCUCCACCUUGAAUGUAGGGGUGAACUCUUCACCGUGAAAGGUCUUAGACCUUCAUCGUACUUUCAUCAAACUAGUUUGUUUAACUAAUAAAACUAUUUCCCCCAUAUCUCAUGUCCUAUAUCCCUCAAAUCAUCCUACCUUGUCCCUUGUUCAUCCUCCACAAAAUAUACUAUACACUUGCACACAUCACAAACCAAAAAUUAUAACCAAUACCAAAACCAUGCUUCCGCACGCAACGCGCACAUCCAAAAUUAUUUUUUUUAACAUUGUUCAGUCGAGUUGGCAAAGGGGCGAAAGAGUUGAACAUCAUGAGAGCACCUGCAAAGCUACAACUGAAGUUGAGGAUGAAGGGGACCUUUCUUCUGUGAAGAGAGAUAGAUCUGUGGAGACUGACCGAAUAGCCGCCAAAACAGCUAGAGGAAGUGGAACUGGACGUGGUUCAAAUCCAGGAAGGGGUCCUGCAGAAAGAGGCGGAGGAAGGAGUAUAGCUUCAAGUUCGAGAAACAGCAAAGGUUCAAGGUCGGGUAGCGACGCAGCUUCCACUUUAGGAAAGGGCAAGGCAUGAAAUUCAGGAAGGAGCAUAUCUUCAAUUUCACGAAGCAGUGCGACUUUGAGUUCAGGACGGGGUAGAGGUUCAAGUUCAAGAAGGGACACAACUAAUAUGGGCACAAGUUCAAGUUCAGGAAGGGGCAUAGCGUCUAGUUCUCGAAGCAGCUCGACUUUGAGUACAGGAAGGGGCAGAGGUUCAACUUCAGGAAAGGGCACGACUGUAAGUUUAGGAAGGGGCACAACUGAAAUGGGCGCAAGUUUAAGAUCAGGGGCGAACAAAGGUUCUUCAAAUUCACGAAGCAGCAUGACUUCGAGUAUAGGAAGAGGCAGAGGGUUAACUUCAGAAAAGGGCGCAACUAUCAAUUCAGGAAGGGGAACGACAUUAAGUUUAGGAAGGGGCGCAACUGAAAUGGGCGCAAGAUCAGGGACAGACAAGGGUUCGAGCUCGGCCAAGACUAAGCCUCAAACAUCGAUUUCAUGAUAAACAAAAUCAAGGUAAUAUCUGUUGAAGAUGCUAGGCAAAAACACGUUGCGAGAAAUUCAAGGUUGCGGCAUGGCUAGAAGAUCACGAACGAAAACAUCAGGAGGAGUUGUUCUAACUCAGGAUUGUGAAGGAGCAAUUUCAGGACUAGUUUGAACCGCGGUUCCCUGUUGAUAUUGGUUUCUGUUUGCUUGUCACGGUUUGUUAGCUGAAUGAAGACAGAAAAUGCGACGCUACUGCUCUGUUACUAACAAGUAGGGGUGAGCGGUUCCCGGUUCCUUACAGGUUCCGCUUGGAACCCGGAACCUACCCGGGUACAGGUUCCUCAUUUUUUUGGAACCGGAACCUACCCGUCAAAACCAAGA